rnacentral:rRNA from 1 species
AGCGGCGGACGGGUGAGUAAUGCGUAGGAAGCUACCCNAUAGAGGGGGAUACCAGUUGGAAACGACUGUUAAUACCGCAUAAUGUCUACGGACCAAAGUGUGGGACCUUCGGGCCACAUGCUAUCGGAUGCGCCUACGUGGGAUUAGCUAGUUGGUGAGGUAAUGGCUCACCAAGGCGACGAUCCCUAGCUGGUUUGAGAGGAUGACCAGCCACACUGGAACUGAGACACGGUCCAGACUCCUACGGGAGGCAGCAGUGGGGAAUAUUGGACAAUGGGCGCAAGCCUGAUCCAGCCAUGCCGCGUGUGUGAAGAAGGCCUUCGGGUUGUAAAGCACUUUCAGUUGGGAGGAAGGGUUGUGUGUUAAUAGUACACAGCCUUGACGUUACCAACAGAAGAAGCACCGGCUAACUCUGUGCCAGCAGCCGCGGUAAUACAGAGGGUGCAAGCGUUAAUCGGAAUUACUGGGCGUAAAGCGCACGUAGGCGGUUUUUUAAGUCAGAUGUGAAAGCCCCGGGCUCAACCUGGGAAUUGCAUUUGAAACUGGGAAACUAGAGUGUGUGAGAGGGGGGUGGAAUUCCAAGUGUAGCGGUGAAAUGCGUAGAGAUUUGGAGGAAUACCAGUGGCGAAGGCGGCCCCCUGGCACAACACUGACGCUCAGGUGCGAAAGCGUGGGGAGCAAACAGGAUUAGAUACCCUGGUAGUCCACGCCGUAAACGAUGUCUACUAGCUGUU